ensembl:lncRNA
UAACUAUCUCAGCAUAAGAUGAUGUAGUAUGCUGCGUGAUACUUUCAUAUGGGCAAAUGCUAAUUGCUACCAUCAUUCACAGCUGGAUAUGGCUGAUGGGUAGGUUAGAAUGUAAGGAGGAAGAAAUUCAUUUUUAUGUACUGAUGAACACUGGGCCACGUAGAAAACCCGGAUUCAUGUUCAGCACAUCACUGUGAAUGUUUAUUUGUGGGGAAUCACAACCAGAAGAACUCAAACAGGAGUAAAUACAGGUAAAGCUGUAGUUAUUGUAAUGAAGUCCAUCUGGCUACAACCAAGCUGUAUUAAUUUUUUUACAGGCAGCUAGUUCUAGCUAAAUGAAGAGAUGCAUGAAGUGUAAAUAAACUUAAGCAUCCCUCGCAUGUUCGUGAAGUUGAAAAACUCUUUUUGCACACAUAGUUGUACACACAAGCACAUAAAUAUCUGACGGCAGAAAUCUGGUUUAAAGCUAGGAUCUGCGUUCAUUUUGAAUAAUGUGUUUAGUUAAGUAAUAAAGUAAGAAACAGCAUCAUUCAGAGCCAGAAGAACAGCCAGUGCCGGGCUUUUUUUGGCACGGUACUCGGCUCUGGAGCAGAUGCAUUCCGCGAUGAAGACAAGACCUGCCUCGGCUGCUGCCCCCCGCCCCAUUGUGCUUCACAUGGCAGCGGCAUUCUGCCGUCACGGGGGCGGAGGCAACAGAACGAUCAGCCCCUGUAGGAGUCCUGCCGGCACGGAGAUUGAGGAGCGUCGGAGAGUGUGAGCAGAAGAUUCCAUAUGGUAAAAGAAGAGGAGAGUCGUGAGAUGAUUGAAUAGAAGAAAGGAGGGCAUGACAGGGGAAGACAAGAAUGGAAGGGGCUAUGGUGACUCAGUGGUUCCAGCACAGUGUUGUAGUUCAGUGGCCCAUGACAGAAGUGUACUCCAGUACUAUUUUUUAUUUUCAACUUGUGAGUAGUAAAUUAUUCUUUCAGCUUCCCCUCAUGAAGCAGCUCAUCUUCCACAGAUACACCCAGUAAGCUGUUUUAACAGAGAUUUUCCCACAACAACCUCUUUCUUUUCUCUACACCCACCACUUUGGUCCAGAUUGAAAAUUUUCACAGAACAAUCCCACUGUUUUCCUCCCAGAACCAUCACUGACAUCAGAUCUACCUCUUAUUCAGCAGACAUGGUGAGUAAGGAGACCGAGUACUUCACUCCAUUGUUUACUCAGUUAAAAGGCCCUUGGAGCAAAGGUAGAUCCAUAUGCUUAUCAGUCAUGAUUGCUAAUGACAUU